AUUUAUAUAGUUUAAUAAAAACUUUACAUUUUCAUUGUAAAAUUAGAUUUCAAUCUUAUAAAUA
rnacentral:tRNA from 1 species